rnacentral:rRNA from 1 species
CUAGAUUGAUGGCGAGUGGCGAACGGGUGAGUAAUACAUCGGAACGUGCCCUGUAGUGGGGGAUAACUAGUCGAAAGAUUAGCUAAUACCGCAUACGACCUGAGGGUGAAAGUGGGGGACCGCAAGGCCUCAUGCUAUAGGAGCGGCCGAUGUCUGAUUAGCUAGUUGGUGAGGUAAAGGCUCACCAAGGCGACGAUCAGUAGCUGGUCUGAGAGGACGAUCAGCCACACUGGGACUGAGACACGGCCCAGACUCCUACGGGAGGCAGCAGUGGGGAAUUUUGGACAAUGGGCGAAAGCCUGAUCCAGCAAUGCCGCGUGUGUGAAGAAGGCCUUCGGGUUGUAAAGCACUUUUGUCCGGAAAGAAAUCGCACUUACUAAUACUAGGUGUGGAUGACGGUACCGGAAGAAUAAGGACCGGCUAACUACGUGCCAGCAGCCGCGGUAAUACGUAGGGUCCAAGCGUUAAUCGGAAUUACUGGGCGUAAAGCGUGCGCAGGCGGUUGUGCAAGACCGAUGUGAAAUCCCCGAGCUUAACUUGGGAAUUGCAUUGGUGACUGCACGGCUAGAGUGUGUCAGAGGGGGGUAGAAUUCCACGUGUAGCAGUGAAAUGCGUAGAGAUGUGGAGGAAUACCGAUGGCGAAAGGCAGCCCCCUGGGAUAACACUGACGCUCAUGCACGAAAGCGUGGGGAGCAAACAGGAUUAGAUACCCUGGGUAGUCCACGCCCUAAACGAUGUCAACUAGUUGUUGGGGAUUCAUUUCCUUAGUAACGUAGCUAACGCGUGGAAGUUGACCGCCUGGGGGAGUACGGUCGCAGAUUAAAACUCAAAGGAAUUG